rnacentral:rRNA from 1 species
UACGUAGGUCCCGAGCGUUAUCCGGAUUUAUUGGGCGUAAGGCGAGCGCAGGCGGUUAGAUAAGUCUGAAGUGAAAGGCUGUGUCUUAACCAGAGUAUGCUUUGGAAACUGUUUAACUUGAGUGCAGAAGGGGAGAGUGGAAUUCCAUGUGUAGCGGUGAAAUGCGUAGAUAUAUGGAGGAACACCGGCGGCGAAAGCGGCUCUCUGGUCUGUAACUGACGCUGAGGCUCGAAAGCGUGGGGAGCAAACAGG